UAGAAAGUGCACCGCAUGCUUUAUGGGGCACGGAGGUCCAAAGAGAAACGGAAUCAGAGCCUGCUGGAGGCCCUCCCUCCCUCCCUCCCUCGGCGGUACACUGGGUGCCGUGCAGACUCCUGGACAGAUUAAGGUGAAAAGUGGAGGACAGGAAGAGGCAAACCAGAGCCAGACUGUCAGGCGACCCAUAUGGGUUCAUCACAACGACUCGGAUUGCAGGAGGGAUGGAGAACGUGGAGGAACAUCUGUGGCUGCUGCUGCUGCUGCUGCGUUUUCUAGGAAUGGGUACUCUUGAGCACCAAGGUUGUCUGACCAAAGUGGAGGGGUAAGAGGUGCAGGGAUGUGGGAGGAUGUUCAUUACAAGAAAUGAUGAAGAGAAGUGCACUUAAUUUUUGUGAGGAUCCUCUAUUUGCAUACUUACACUUACUUAUUUAGUUCAAUGUAAGGCUAUUUACAGCUCUUUACCCACUUAUAUAGUGGGGUAAUUUUUAUAAGAGUGACUCAGGAUAAGUACCUUGCUCAAAAUUAUUAUAGCAUCAGGUGGGAUUCAAACCAGCAACUGUCUGCUCAAAGGGCAGCACUUGUAACCACUAUGAUAUCAGGAUUUCAGCAAGAUGUCACACUGCCUUGUAUACCUGUUUUGGGAGCUGCUGCUUUUGUUUGAGAGGAAUCAAUAAAAUGACUAUUUACUGUGGUUAUGGGCA
rnacentral:lncRNA from 1 species